rnacentral:rRNA from 1 species
AAGUUGUUGCAGUUAAAAAGCUCCUAGCCUUAAUUGGUCGGGCCGUGUUUUCAGCAUCGUUACUUUGAAGAAAUUAGAGUGCUCAAAGCAAGCCAUUACUCUAAAUACAUUAGCAUGGGAUAAAAUCAUAGGAUUUCAGUACCAUUGUGUUGGCCUUCGGGAUCUAAGUAAUGAUAAAUAAGGACAGUCUGGGGCAUUUUUUAUUUUGUAGUCAGAGGUGAAACCCUUGGAUUUAUGAAAGACAAACAACUGCGAAAAGCAUUUGCCAUCGAUGUUUUCAUUAAUCAAGAAUGAAAGUUUGGGUCUCGAAUACGAUCAGAUAUCGUCCUAGUCUCAACCCUAAAGGUUGUCUACCGGGGAUCGACGGUUGCUUAUAGGACUCCGCCGACACCUUAUGAGGAAUAAAAGUCUUUGGGUUCCG